rnacentral:rRNA from 1 species
UGAGGAAUAUUGGUCAAUGGGCGCAGGCCUGAACCAGCCAAGUAGCGUGAAGGAUGACUGCCCUAUGGGUUGUAAACUUCUUUUAUAAAGGAAUAAAGUCGGGUAUGUAUACCCGUUUGCAUGUACUUUAUGAAUAAGGAUCGGCUAACUCCGUGCCAGCAGCCGCGGUAAUACGGAGGAUCCGAGCGUUAUCCGGAUUUAUUGGGUUUAAAGGGAGCGUAGAUGGAUGUUUAAGUCAGUUGUGAAAGUUUGCGGCUCAACCGUAAAAUUGCAGUUGAUACUGGAUAUCUUGAGUGCAGUUGAGGCAGGCGGAAUUCGUGGUGUAGCGGUGAAAUGCUUAGAUAUCACGAAGAACUCCGAUUGCGAAGGCAGCCUGCUAAGCUGCAACUGACAUUGAGGCUCGAAAGUGUGGGUAUCAAACAGGAUUAGAUACCCUGGUAGUCCACACGGUAAACGAUGAAUACUCGCUGUUUGCGAUAUACUGCAAGCGGCCAAGCGAAAGCGUUAAGUAUUCCACCUGGGGAGUACGCCGGCAACGGUGAAACUCAAAGGAAUUGACGGGGGCCCGCACAAGCGGAGGAACAUGUGGCUUAAUUCGAUGAUACGCGAGGAACCUUACCCGGGCUUAAAUUGCAGAUGAAUUACGGUGAAAGCCGUAAGCCGCAAGGCAUCUGUGAAGGUGCUGCAUGGUUGUCGUCAGCUCGUGCCGUGAGGUGUCGGCUUAAGUGCCAUAACGAGCGCAACCCUUGUUGUCAGUUACUAACAGGUUCCGCUGAGGACUCUGACAAGACUGCCAUCGUAAGAUGUGAGGAAGGUGGGGAUGACGUCAAAUCAGCACGGCCCUUACGUCCGGGGCUACACACGUGUUACAAUGGGGGGUACAGAGGGCCGCUACCACGCGAGUGGAUGCCAAUCCCCAAAACCUCUCUCAGUUCGGACUGGAGUCUGCAACCCGACUCCACGAAGCUGGAUUCGCUAGUAAUCGCGCAUCAGCCACGGCGCGGUGAAUACGUUCCC